GCGGUUAUAGCUCAGUGGUGGAUCGCAUGCCUAGCAUGCACGAGGUCCUGGGUUCCAUCCCCAGUACCUCCA
rnacentral:tRNA from 1 species